AAAUUGAAGAGUUUGAUCAUGGCUCAGAUUGAACGCUGGCGGCAGGCCUAACACAUGCAAGUCGAGCGGUAGCACAGAGAGCUUGCUCUCGGGUGACGAGCGGCGGACGGGUGAGUAAUGUCUGGGAAACUGCCUGAUGGAGGGGGAUAACUACUGGAAACGGUAGCUAAUACCGCAUAACGUCGCAAGACCAAAGUGGGGGACCUUCGGGCCUCAUGCCAUCAGAUGUGCCCAGAUGGGAUUAGCUAGUAGGUGGGGUAACGGCUCACCUAGGCGACGAUCCCUAGCUGGUCUGAGAGGAUGACCAGCCACACUGGAACUGAGACACGGUCCAGACUCCUACGGGAGGCAGCAGUGGGGAAUAUUGCACAAUGGGCGCAAGCCUGAUGCAGCCAUGCCGCGUGUGUGAAGAAGGCCUUCGGGUUGUAAAGCACUUUCAGCGGGGAGGAAGGCGUUAAGGUUAAUAACCUUGGCGAUUGACGUUACCCGCAGAAGAAGCACCGGCUAACUCCGUGCCAGCAGCCGCGGUAAUACGGAGGGUGCAAGCGUUAAUCGGAAUUACUGGGCGUAAAGCGCACGCAGGCGGUCUGUCAAGUCGGAUGUGAAAUCCCCGGGCUCAACCUGGGAACUGCAUUCAAAACUGGCAGGCUAGAGUCUUGUAGAGGGGGGUAGAAUUCCAGGUGUAGCGGUGAAAUGCGUAGAGAUCUGGAGGAAUACCGGUGGCGAAGGCGGCCCCCUGGACAAAGACUGACGCUCAGGUGCGAAAGCGUGGGGAGCAAACAGGAUUAGAUACCCUGGUAGUCCACGCCGUAAACGAUGUCGAUUUGGAGGUUGUGCCCUUGAGGCGUGGCUUCCGGAGCUAACGCGUUAAAUCGACCGCCUGGGGAGUACGGCCGCAAGGUUAAAACUCAAAUGAAUUGACGGGGGCCCGCACAAGCGGUGGAGCAUGUGGUUUAAUUCGAUGCAACGCGAAGAACCUUACCUGGUCUUGACAUCCACAGAACUUUCCAGAGAUGGAUUGGUGCCUUCGGGAACUGUGAGACAGGUGCUGCAUGGCUGUCGUCAGCUCGUGUUGUGAAAUGUUGGGUUAAGUCCCGCAACGAGCGCAACCCUUAUCCUUUGUUGCCAGCGGUUCGGCCGGGAACUCAAAGGAGACUGCCAGUGAUAAACUGGAGGAAGGUGGGGAUGACGUCAAGUCAUCAUGGCCCUUACGACCAGGGCUACACACGUGCUACAAUGGCAUAUACAAAGAGAAGCGACCUCGCGAGAGCAAGCGGACCUCAUAAAGUAUGUCGUAGUCCGGAUUGGAGUCUGCAACUCGACUCCAUGAAGUCGGAAUCGCUAGUAAUCGUAGAUCAGAAUGCUACGGUGAAUACGUUCCCGGGCCUUGUACACACCGCCCGUCACACCAUGGGAGUGGGUUGCAAAAGAAGUAGGUAGCUUAACCUUCGGGAGGGCGCUUACCACUUUGUGAUUCAUGACUGGGGUGAAGUCGUAACAAGGUAACCGUAGGGGAACCUGCGGUUGGAUCACCUCCUUA
rnacentral:rRNA from 1 species